AUCUUUGCGCUUGGGGCAAUGACGCAGCUAAUGAGGUACUAACCGAGGCGCGUCUAUUGCUGGUUGAAAACUAUUUCCAAACCCCCUCUUAGGCUUUGGUUCCGCCUUAGCCUUCGAGAAUUUUUGGAAGGACUCCCUUAUGGGUAAAGUC
rnacentral:snRNA from 1 species